GAUGAACGCUGGCGGCGUGCUUAACACAUGCAAGUCGAACGGAAAGGCUCCUGCUUGCCGGGGUACUCGAGUGGCGAACGGGUGAGUAACACGUGGGUGAUCUGCCCUGCACUUCGGGAUAAGCCUGGGAAACUGGGUCUAAUACCGGAUAGGACCACAUUUUGGAUGGUGUGGUGGAAAGUUUUUCGGUGUGGGAUGAGCUCGCGGCCUAUCAGCUUGUUGGUGGGGUAAUGGCCUACCAAGGCGUCGACGGGUAGCCGGCCUGAGAGGGUGUACGGCCACAUUGGGACUGAGAUACGGCCCAGACUGCUACGGGAGGCAGCAGUGGGGAAUAUUGCACAAUGGGCGCAAGCCUGAUGCAGCGACGCCGCGUGGGGGAUGACGGCCUUCGGGUUGUAAACUCCUUUCGCUAGGGACGAAGCGCAAGUGACGGUACCUGGAGAAGAAGCACCGGCUAACUACGUG
rnacentral:rRNA from 1 species